UACGGAAGGCAGCAGUGGGGAAUAUUGCACAAUGGGCGCAAGCCUGAUGCAGCCAUGCCGCGUGUAUGAAAAAGGCCUUCGGGUUGUAAAGUACUUUCAGUCGUGAGGAAGGUGUUAAGGUUAAUAACCUUAGCAAUUGACGUUAGCGACAGAAGAAGCACCGGCUAACUCCGUGCCAGCAGCCGCGGUAAUACGGAGGGUGCGAGCGUUAAUCGGAAUUACUGGGCUAAAGGGCACGCAGGCGGUUAAUUAAGUUGGAUGUGAAAUCCCCGGGCUUAACCUGGGAAUGGCAUUCAAGACUGGUUAGCUAGAGUCUUGUAGAGGGGGUAGAAUUCCAUGUGUAGCGGUGAAAUGCGUAGAGAUGUGGAGGAAUACCGGUGGCGAAGGCGGCCCCUGGACAAAGACUGACGCUCAUGUGCGAAAGCUGGGGAGCAAACAGGGAUUAGAUACC
rnacentral:rRNA from 1 species